rnacentral:rRNA from 1 species
UCGCCAGACUCCUACGGGAGGCAGCAGUGAGGAAUAUUGGUCAAUGGGCUCACGCCUGAACCAGCCAAGUCGCGUGAGGGAAGACUGCCCUAUGGGUUGUAAACCUCUUUUGUCAGGGAGCAACGCCGGCUACGUGUAGCCGGACUGAGAGUACCUGAAGAAAAAGCAUCGGCUAACUCCGUGCCAGCAGCCGCGGUAAUACGGAGGAUGCGAGCGUUAUCCGGAUUUAUUGGGUUUAAAGGGUGCGUAGGCGGAAUGCCAAGUCAGCGGUAAAAUUUCGGGGCUCAACCCCGUCGUGCCGUUGAAACUGACGCCCUUGAGUGAGUGAGAAGUAAGCGGAAUGCGUGGUGUAGCGGUGAAAUGCAUAGAUAUCACGCAGAACUCCGAUUGCGAAGGCAGCGUACCGGCGCCCAACUGACGCUGAAGCACGAAGGCGUGGGUAUCGAACAGGAUUAGAUACCCCAGUA